AAAGCUGGCGUCUUCGGCGUCCGCAUUGUAAUCUCAAGAAGUGUUUUCCGCUUCGGACCAUGCCUAAGUCCCUUGGAAAAGGGCAUCAUAGAGGGUGAUAAUCCCGUACAUGGCAUGGAGCGCCCGAAGCUUUGUGAUACGCUUUCUAAGAGUCGAGUUGUUUGGGAAUGCAGCUCAAAAUGGGUGGUAAAUGCCAUCUAAGGCUAAAUAUUGGGGAGAGACCGAUAGCGAACAAGUACAGUGAUGGAAAGAUGAAAAGAACUUUGAAAAGAGAGUUAAACAGUACGUGAAAUUGCCAAAAGGGAAGGGUAGGAGGUCAGAGAUGCGGCCUGGGAUUCAGCCUUGCUUUUGCUUGGUGUUUUUCCCAGAUUGCAGGCCAACGUCGGUUUUGGGCACUGGAGAAGGGUAGGAGGAACGUGGCACCUCUCGGGGUGUGUUAUAGCCUCCUACUGGAUACAGCGACCGAGACCGAGGACAGCAGCGUACUCGCAAGAGCGGGCCUUCGGGCACCUUUACGCUUAGGGCGUUGGCAUAAUGGCCCUCUACCACCCGUCUU
rnacentral:rRNA from 1 species